rnacentral:rRNA from 1 species
GAUGAACGCUGGCGGCGUGCCUAAUACAUGCAAGUCGAGCGAACGGACGAGAAGCUUGCUUCUCUGAUGUUAGCGGCGGACGGGUGAGUAACACGUGGAUAACCUACCUAUAAGACUGGGAUAACUUCGGGAAACCGGAGCUAAUACCGGUUAAUAUUUUGAACCGCAUGGUUCAAAAGUGAAAGACGGUCUUGCUGUCACUUAUAGAUGGAUCCGCGCUGCAUUAGCUAGUUGGUAAGGUAACGGCUUACCAAGGCAACGAUGCAUAGCCGACCUGAGAGGGUGAUCGGCCACACUGGAACUGAGACACGGUCCAGACUCCUACGGGAGGCAGCAGUAGGGAAUCUUCCGCAAUGGGCGAAAGCCUGACGGAGCAACGCCGCGUGAGUGAUGAAGGUCUUCGGAUCGUAAAACUCUGUUAUUAGGGAAGAACAUAUGUGUAAGUAACUGUGCACAUCUUGACGGUACCUAAUCAGAAAGCCACGGCUAACUACGUG